UCUUUGAUUACAGUGGAUAUAGCAGGCGCAUUCGACAACGCAUGGUGGCCAGCAAUUAUUAGAAGACUCGAUUUGGAUAACAUUCCCUCCAAAUUAAUAAGAAUUAUACAAUCUUUUUAAACAGGGAAAGAAGGGCAAAUUUCUCAUAUGAAGAUACAAAUGUUACAAAAAAUCUGACAAAAGGAUGCCCUCAAGGCAGUCCUUUAUCCCCAAUAUUAUGGAAUAUUUUGUUAAACGACUUGCUGAAGAGUUUCAAACAUCCGAACGCAGAAAUAAUUUGCUACGCAGACGACGUUUCCAUCAUUUGCUGGAGCAAGUCUGUCGAGGAUCUCAAAAUAUUAAGUGAAUAUAUUCUAUACUACGUGAUUCAAUGGUGUAAUAGGAAUAAAUUAUCAAUAAGCCCAGAGAAAACGAAUUUACCUUACUUACAUAAUAAACCUAAAGUUCCAAUUGAAAUAUCGAAUAUUAUUUUAAACCCAGUAGAUCAAGUUAAGAUAUAAGGCAUAAAAUUCUCAAAUCAUAGAAUUAAAAAAAAAGAUAAAUUUUACCCCACAUAUCAACGACAUUCUGUGUAGGAUCGUAAGAAUGAAAAUUUUCUGUUUUCACUUUGUGGAAAGAUGUGGGGAAUAAAUACUAAAAAAAAAAUAAUAAUUUUGUAUAAAACACUUAUCAGUCCAGCUCUUACGUAUGGUUCAGAAAUAUGGUAUAAAUUUAUAAAUAAGCGAUGCAAAGAAAAACUAAAUUCUACUCAAUAUCAAAUUCUUCUGUGGGUGAGCAGAGCCUACAAAACUACAUCUUCCAACUGUGUCCAUAGUCUUGCGAACAUCCCCCUUCUCACAGAUUAUAUUGAAUCUAAAAUAAUUAAAUAUGAUUUGGCUCAUCUUUCGAUAGAGGAUCAAAAUGCUUUUAGACCACAUUCUCCGAGUAUAAUUGGUUCAUUUUUAAGUGCAAAAAUGGAUGAAUUAUUUCUAAAAGCAAAUGAAACAUUCCAAAGCUUUUUCCCGUUUGGAAUUCCAACAUUUUUCCGUUCAAAUUUUUAUAAUGCCCAGUUUACAACGAACCAUGGAAAUUUUAAGGGAUUUUUAUCAAAAAUUGGAGCGGUUGAAGACUAGCUGUCAUUGUGGCAACGAAAUCCAGGACUCGAGACACCUACUGCUGGAAUGGCCACUCUUUUCUAGCGCUAGACAACAGACAAUAAAUAAUGUUGUAGAUCUAUAUCAAUUUGUAAAUAGCAGAGAGAAUUAUCAUAGGUUUAACUAUCUUUGUAGAUAUACUUAUGAUUAUCUUUCAAACCUGAAAGGUUCAGGUUCCUAAUAUAUAUUAUUGUUUCUCUUUUUUUUUUAAAUUCCUUUUCUUGUAUAAUGUGUUUAUAACUGUUUCUGUUUUUUUUUUUUUAAAUGUAAAUCGAUGCAAUUAUCCCUAGCCGGGAUAUCGCGUUUUGUGUGUUGAAAUAAAGAUCAAUGCAUUUUUAAAUAUGAGUGUGGUUCACACUUCCAUGAUUACCUUCCUCCCGUAUUUUAUAUCAUACUAGAGCACCACAUGCGACAGAGAAAUAUACACAUAUUUACAUACACUGUUUAUUUUACAGGAACAUUAGCCUGUCAAAACUGUAAAUAUAAAUAAUAAUAAAAAAUACAAAUUAUUAAAUGCGUAUUUAUAGUUAUUUAAAUUAGGAAAUAUAUAAUUUUAGUCAAUGUUAUUAAAUGUUCCGGUGGAAGGCUCGUUAAACCGUUUGGUUUUCGACCACUAGGACCCGGGUUCGAUUCCCGCAUUGGACACUUUUUUCUGUUUAAAAAAAAAAUUGCUCCAAUGGCCCCCGAUUCUUGCAAAAGUCCAACCCCACCAGUGAGUGCAAGUAACCAAACGGGGCUCUGGCACAUUUGUAAGUGCAAAGUCGAACUGCUUUUCACAUGUGUAGACAUGUGGUGCACUUACAGUAAAAGCAGUCGCUAACUAUCCACCAUGAUUACCAUGGCCUGUACCACAUGUACUAGGGAUAAGCAAAAAAAAAUGUUCCGAUAGAUGGCAGUGGGUCAUCAGCAUCAUUUAGUUGUUAGAAUAGUAGGUUUCAUUGACUUAACACACUGUUCUGCUCUAAACUCUUCAAAAACUCGUCAAGCUAAGGGUUGCGAAAUUAAAGUAGAAAUCAGCUGGGAACGACAACUUAAAUGCCAAUAAAAAAAGUCACCAUAUUAUAUUGGGGCAUUGGAAUUAUUCAUUAAUUUAUUUUUAAUUAAUUAAUUAUAAUUAUAUGUAUAAAUAUAAAAAUAUACAUAAAAAUAUACCUUCAUUUCAAAAUCAUCAUACAUGUUCCAUAGCUUGGUUGUUCAAUGUCCUCUAUCUAUAUAUACACUCAUGAACAAAACUUAAGGAAGUUGUACCUUUUACCAUGUAUAUCGGGAUUCAGACAAUAACUCUGGAAGAUAUUACAGUGACCUUUAUUGAAGACAUACGAGAUAACUAAGUGUGAACAAAAUUACCUCUGUUACCUUAAAAAACAAAACAACAAAACAAAAAACAGACGACCGGCGACAUCAAAUAUUUUCCAAUUCGUUAAGUUUUGUCCAUGAGUGUAUUUCAGUAAUUUAAUUGCAAUUUAAUAUUUAGCAUAUCAUUUGUGAAGAAAAUAUAUCUCCCAUACAAUCUACAAAUUAGAAAAUAUCCAAUUAAAUGUCCAAAAUUAUGGCUUUAUUUGAAGUAAAAGGCUAUGUAAUAUGUAUACAAAUGUUUACACAACAAAUAACAUAAAAUAUUUAUGUUUAAAAAUAAAUUAAUCACUUAUAUUGAUAACAAAUUAAUAUUCAUAUAGAACUUUGAUAAUUUGUAACUCCCAGGUAUAUUAAAUCGUAACCGUUAAACAUUGACUCCAUGAACAUUACGACGACGCUCUGUGUCCAGUUGGCAGAAUUACAAAAUACUCCUGUUAUAAAUAGGGUGGCUUUGAAAACGGCUGAAUUAGGGAAGCUGCAUGAAGUACAUUGCAACUCUGAUGUAUCUCUAUAAAUGAUUGUUUAUGACAGUUUUGGGCUUCUAACUCCAAGGAGAUUCGCGAAAUAGAAAAACUUUACAUUUAGGAUUUCUUCCUCCUUUGAGGUCAUAAAUAAUCGCUUCAAAGUCAAGCCUUAACUCCCAACCGUUCCAUAGUUGAUUCUGUGCAUCACCGAUAUCGUAUUUUAUAGAUAGAUAAAUAUAGAAAUCACAUAUAUAUUAAAAGAGUUGUGGGAAAGGAUUCCAUUCAUUGUUCCAAAAGUGACACAUUUCCCAUUUCAUAUUUAAAGGGCGAGGAAUUUUGGCACAAAUAUAUUUUUGGUACAUAUAAAUCUAAUAUAAAAUAUAACUUAAUAAAUUCUUUAUAAUCCUUUAUAAAAAGAAACUCAAUAAUUCUUAAGAAUAAAUACGGUACAUAUUAUUUUUUUAAAUGGGCUCAGGAGAUAAUACGACAUUUGGAAUAUAAAACAUUGAAAAAAAAAAUUAUAUAAAUGUCCAAUUUUGGAAAUAUAAAGAAAAGGAAACCUUAUUAAAAUUGAAACAUUAAUAAUUAAAGUAAACUAAUUUUAAAAAAUCUUGAAAAAACUCGUUCACUUACUAAAAUAUUUAUACCAAUAUAUUAUUCUAAAAAUACCUUCUUUUCAAAAUUAAAGCGCAGGCGCGCAGAUGUCAUUUUUCGAGAAUUAUAAAUGCAAUUUUAUUUCUCGCCCUUUAAAUCAAACAGCCUGAAAUCAAUGCCAUUUAGAUGAUUGUCUAAAAAGAAAAAAUACAAGCUUUAAAAUAUAUAUUAAUAUAAUAUUUACCUAGAUAUGCAUUUCUGCCCUUGAAAUGUAGGUAAUAUUUAAAAAUAGAAUUCUUUUUUACAAGAUCAUUUUUAUUGAUUAUUUUCAAAAAGUCUUAUAAAAUAUUUAUAAUUCCUUAAUUUAUUUAUAUUUUAAAAUUUUAUGGGCAAAUAUUUUUCUCUCUCUAAAAUGACACAUAUUUUUACUAUUUAAAAGUACAUAUUUUAAAAAAAUUAACUAAGGUGGAGAGUGACUUUAAUUUUAUGGGCAAAAUUUAACUGAUAUUUUAAACAUUUUCCUUGAAAAGAUAUUAAAUAUAUUCUUUUUUCUUGAAAUUUUUCGUUUCACAUAUUUAUUAAAAAUAUUUUGAAUAUUAUCUAAUAUAUGCAUAUAGGUUCUAAAUAUAUAUACAUUUUAUUUAAUUAAAAACCUUUUAAAAAUAAAAAAAAAUAAUUCAUUUCUUAUUUUAAAAGAAGGGCAAUUUAGAUAUUUGUGCAUAUAUAUUUCUUUAAUUCAACAACCCAAGAAAAGAAUCAGAAUUUUUAAUUAUAUUAAUGUAGGGUUUUUUGGAAAAACAGUCUUCAAAAAUAAUACCCAAAUAUUCAUUCAUUAAAAUAAUAUUUUAAGGAAAUUAUCGUUUGACAUAUCGUCCCUACAACUGCAAAUUAUCGAAUCUGAAAAUCGGUACUUUACUUGGAUAACUGUGGUAAUCUCCCUCUCUCUGGUUUUACAAGAUAACAACGUGAGACCAAUAUAUAAAAAUUGUACAUUUUAUAUAUUGGUCUCACGUUGUUAUCUUGUAAAACCAGAGAGAGGGAGAUUACCACAGUUAUCCAAGUAAAGUACCGAUUUUCAGAUUCGAUAAUUUGCAGUUGUAGGGACGAUAAUUUAAAAAAAUAAAUAUUAUAAAACGAUACUAUUGUGAAAAUUUUAUCAUUUUUUUUAGAAUUUUCAAUAAAAUAUUUUACUGAAAGAUAAAGUUGUGUUGUAAGAUUUAGGUACUUACAGCUUGUAGGAAGGCAUGAGGACGUUGAGGAUUAUAUGAUAAUAAUCUUUAUUAUCCAUUUAGCAAGAAAAGACAAAGUUAUGGUAGCGAACAGUUAUUGAAGUAUAGAGAAGAAGGUAAACAAACAGUUGUGAUGAUGAUAGGUCCAGUGUGGCGCUAGCUGUCGUAGCAUUCAGUUAUCCAACAAAUCCCCGGCAUGAAUGUGGAGACAUCACGAGGUUGUAGCGUAACUUCUCAAAUGUCGGCCUUGGUAGCGGCUUGGUCAGAAUGUCCGCCUUCAUGUCGCCAGUUGGGCAGUAGAUCAUUUUUAUCACUGUCUUCUUCUGAAGAUCCUUCAGGUGAUGGAUCUUGGUUGCGAUGUGCUUGGUUCUAGAAGACACUUUUUCGGAUGAACAUAUCUUGAGACAUGAUUGAUUGUCUUGGUGGAAGUAGAUUGGAGCUUUCUGUUCCAGUUCGAGAUCCUUUAGCAAGUCGAGAAGCCAUAACAGUUCUUGUGAGGCUUCAGCUGCGGAGAUUAGUUCCGCUUCGGUGGAUGAGAGAGAUACGCAACCUUGUUUCUCAGUCAUCCAUGAGAUGGGGUUUGAUCCCAGUAGGAACAAGUUUCCGCUUAGUGAUUUUCUGUCGGUGUUGUCGCUUGCCCAUGUGGCAUCACUGUAUGCUUCCAGUGUGGGAGGUUUUUGGUUAGAUAUGCGUAGCUCGAGUUCUUUAGUAGUUUUUAGAUAUCUUACGAUUCUUUUUGCUGCAUUCCAGUCACAAUUUCUAGGAUUCUGGUUUCUGCUGCUGAGUAUGCAGACUGGAGCUGCGAUAUCUGGUCUGGAUACUACGCUUAGGUACAAUAGUGAGCCAAUCAGUUGUUGGUAUUGGACGUUGUUUGGUAGAAGUUUUUCAUCAGAUAUACCGGGGUAUCCGCUUUCCAUGGGAGUGAAAGUAGGUUUCGCUUCUUGGAGAUUGUACCUUUCAACUAAUUCUUGGAUUUUAUUCUUUUGGCUCAGAAGGAGUUCACCUUCUCUGUUCCUUGAGAUUUCUAUACCAAAGAAUUGAGUGGGGUUUCCAAGAUUCUUUAUUUCGAAUUCUUUUUCGAGAGUUUUUACAGUGUUUUGGAUGAUUAUUUCGGAAUCGCUUGCAAGGAGCAUGUCAUCCACAUAUAGAAUCAAGUAGAUGGAAUGGUUUUCUUCAUUCUUGGUGAAUAGGCAUGGGUCUACAAUGCUCUGUUUGAAGUUAUUUUUAAUUAGAGUGCUUGCAAUUUUUGUGUUCCAAGAUCUUCCGGCUUGUUUUAAACCGUAAAUUGCCUUCUUUAGUUUGCAGACUUUGUUUGUUUGUUUUGUAUGGAGCCCUUCUGGGAGUUCCAUGUAGAGUUCUUUAUCUAGGUCGCCGUGUAGGAACGCUGUCUUGACAUCGAGGUGGAUCACUUGCAUCCCUUUGUAGACUGAUGCAGCUAGGAAAGCUCUAAUUGUAGAAUGCUUCACAAUGGGUGUCUGAAUGUCUUGAGCUUCAGUUUUGUACAGCAUGUAGUCAUUUCUUAUGGGAGGUAUUCCCUUUGUUGGUCUCGUGGAUCUUCUUUGUGUGACCACUUGUGUUCCUGUGCUUGUACCGGGUUGAAGGUAAUCCUCGGUUUCUGAGUCCUCAAGGUUUUCGGGUUGUGUUCCUGGUUCCUGACUUUCCUCUGCAUUUCCGAUAUGAUUGGAGAAAGUUAGAUCUGUACUUAGUACUUGUGGUGAAGUUGUUUUUGUGGAAGCGAGGUGAAACCCAUUUUCCUUUUCUAUAAAUUUUACGGAUCUGCUGAUUGUGAUGUUGUCUGUAUCGUGCAGGAAUCUUUAUCCUUUGCUUCGAUCAUCGUAUCCAAGAAAGAUCCCUUCGAUGACUUUGCUAUCCAACUUGUUUCUUUUUAUCUUGGGAAUAUAGGCGAAGGCUUUACAUCCGAAUCUUUUUAGAUGCUUCAGACUGGGCUUCCUGUUGGUCCAUAGUUCAAAUGGAGUCUUGUCUGUAGCUUUCGAGGGUAUUCGGUUGUGUAGGUAAUUAGCUGUGGUAACCGCUUCCGCCCAUAGAGACUGUGGGAGUCCUGAGUCAAACAGCAUGCAUCUUGUCAUCUCCAUUAGUGAUCGAUUUUUCCUUUCGGCUACUCCGUUCUGGGCUGGUGAGUAGGGGACUGUUAGCUGAUGUUUGAUUCCGCUUUGGUUCAGGAAAUCUUCGACUUGUCGGUUUACGUACUCACGACCGUUGUCUGUCCGUAUGGUUUGGAUAUUUUUUCCAAAUUCCGUGUGUACUGAGAUGACGUAGUCUUUUAUUUUUUCAUAGACUUCGUCUUUUCCUUUCAGGAGGUAGACCUUUGUGUAUCUGCUGUAGUCAUCAGUGAAGGUGAUGAAGUAUCUCUUACCGCUGAGAGAGUUAGUUGGUAAUGGACCGCAGAUAUCACUGUGGACAAGUUGAAGCGUUUCAGUUGCUCUGUACUCUGUCUUCUUUGGAAAUGGGGUUUCGAUGAGUUUUCCUUGAAUGCACUGAACGCAGUCUGUGCUGUGCGAACAGUUAUUUAGACUUAGUCGUCUUGCUAGGUUCUCAUUUCGAAUCUUCUUAAUUGAUUCUAUAUUUCUGUGUCCUAGUCUGUCGUGCCAGAGCAUGAGGCAAUUUUUGUUCUUGCAGUGGUUUUGUUUUGCUACAUUUGCUUUGAAUGUGCGAGUUUGGAGGUUGUCAUCCAGGCGGAGUCGGUACAUUCCAUUGUCAAGUAUACCGUUCGCGAGGGCUGUGUUGUCUCUUUCAAUGGUGCACCAAUCUCUGUUGAACGUCACUUUACAUCCGUUGGAGGUGGCCGCACUCACUGACAGAAGGUUGUCUGUUAGUUCCGGGAUGUAGAGAACUUUUGUGAGAAGUAAGGUGUCAGUCUUUCCUUGGGGUGUGAUGACUUUGAUUUCUCCUUGUCCUAUCCCUUUGACCUGCAGCUUAUUGCCAUUAGCAACCACAACAUUUUGUGUUUGUUCUCUGUUAAGUUCAGUGAAGAAGCUUUCAUCGUGCGCCAUAUGAGAUGUGGCUCCAGAGUCGACGAACCAGUUGUGUACACUUGCUUCUCGUUGAGUGCAAUUGAGAGCUUUUGGGUUAGAUCCUUUUGUUGUUCUCUUGUUUGUGGGUUGUUCUUGGGUGACACUCGACUGAUUUGUGUACUUUGGUACGUUUCCUCUUCUGAAGUUUUCAUAUUUGUACUCUUUGUUGCUGUUGUUUCGCUUUUGAUAGUGCCAACAUUCUUCUUUGGAGUGGUUUGGUUUGUGGCAGAAAGAACAGAAUUUCUUCUCUUUUUCUCUUCUUUGGCUUGAAGCUUCGUGGAGGCUUUUUAAGGCUUUUGAUGCGGUGCUUUCGUCUUUCGAGCUUUCUACUCUGCGUGUGUGUUCAUCAAGGAGUUUGUUCUUGGUAAAUUCAAGCGUUAGCUCGUCAUCAGGCCUUGAUUCCAACAUCGUGAUGAGAUUUGAGUAGCUCUUUGGAAGCGAGCAAAGCAGUAUAGCCGUGAUGUGAGAGUCCCUUAGUGUUUCGCCAAUGGUUCGCAGUUUGUCAACAAGUUCCAUCAUGGUAGUGAUAUGCUGUUGCAUGUCUUUGUCUUCUUCGAGUUUUAAGCUGUAUAGCUUCCUUAGCAAAUAAAUUUUUCCUGAGAGUGUUUUUCUUUCAUAGAUAUUUUUAAGAGUGUCCCAGGUAGCUUUGGCUGUUAGUAGGUUUUGACAUGCACUAUUUGUGAGUCGGCGAUGCUUAGAUUAAUGAUAGCUCUAACUUUUGAGUCUUUCUUUUUCCAUUCGACUUUAGGUUCAUCUGGAAUAUUUUCGGUGACAACUUCCCAAAGAUCUUCCUUUUGCAAGAGCAUUUCAAUUUUGAAAGACCAUAGUGAGUAGUUAUAGCCGUCGAGCUUAUCUAGGGUUACAUCGUGGCUCGGGAGUGACGCCAUUUUUGCUAAGCCUUUUUUCUUUGUCUUAACUCGUUAGUUGAAUUUCAUGCAAUAUUCAGUCUCAUAAUCUAAUUGUUGUAAGAUUUAGGUACUUACAGCUUGUAGGAAGGCAUGAGGACGUUGAGGAUUAUAUGAUAAUAAUCUUUAUUAUCCAUUUAGCAAGAAAAGACAAAGUUAUGGUAGCGAACAGUUAUUGAAGUAUAGAGAAGAAGGUGAACAAACAGUUGUGAUGAUGAUAGGUCCAGUGUGGCGCUAGCUGUCGUAGCAUUCAGUUAUCCAACAA